AACGUAGGAGACAAACGUUAUCCGGAGUUACUGGGCGUAAAAGGGCGUGUAGGUGGUUUAGUAAGUCUGGCGUGAAAUUUUUCGGCUUAACCGGGAAAGGUCGUCGGAUACUGCAAGACUAGAGGACGGUAGAGGCGUGUGGAAUUCCGGGUGUAGUGGUGAAAUGCGUAGAGAUCCGGAGGAACACCAGUGGCGAAGGCGACACGCUGGGCCGUACCUGACACUGAUGCGCGACAGCAUGGGGAGCAAACGAGGAUUAGAAACCCCGUGUAAGACCCA
rnacentral:rRNA from 1 species